rnacentral:tRNA from 1 species
GGGCCCGUAGCUCAGCCAGGUAGAGCGGCGGGCUUUUAACCGCGGGUCGCGCGGGAAGCGACCCGUAGGUCCCGGGUUCAAAUCCCGGCGGGCCCG